AAACCAACCGGGAUUGCCUCAGUAACGGCGAGUGAAGCGGCAUCAGCUCAAAUUUGAAAGCCCUCGGGCGUUGUAAUUUGCAGGGGAAGUGCUUGGGGCGGGUGCUGUCUACGUUCCUUGGAACAGGACGCCGCAGAGGGUGAGAGCCCCGUGCGAUGGCACCUCUAACCGCAUAAGCCUUCUCCGACGAGUCGAGUUGUUUGGGAAUGCAGCUCAAAGUGGGUGGUAAAUUCCAUCUAAAGCUAAAUACUGGCGAGAGACCGAUAGCGAACAAGUACAGUGAUGGAAAGAUGAAAAGCACUUUGAAAAGAGAGUGAAACAGCACGUGAAAUUGUUGAAAGGGAAGGGUAUGCGAUUAGCGGCCAGCAGGAGGUGGUCUCUCGUGAAAAGGCCGGGCACCGUCCUCGGACACUGUGCGCGGAGAUGGCGAGGGGCCGCCUGAGGUCUGCGACUCUAGGUUGCUGGCGUAAUGAUUGCAUACCAC
rnacentral:rRNA from 1 species